AUGGAAGCCCCAGCACAGCUUCUCUGCCUCCUGCUGCUCUGGUUCCCAGGUACCACUGGAGAAAUUGUGAUGACACAGACUCCAGCCUCACUAUCAUUGUCUCCAGGAGAAACAGCCAGGAUCACCUGCAAGGCCAGUCAGAGCGUUAGCAACUACUUAGCCUGGUACCAGCAGAAACCUGUACAGACUCCCAGGCUCCUCAUCUAUGGUGCAACUAACAGGCUCAAUGACAUCCCAGCCCGAUUCAGUGGCAGCGGGUAUGGGACAGACUUUACUCUCACCAUCAGCAGCCUGGAGCCUGAAGAUGCUGCCACUUACUACUGUCAGCAGGGUUCUAGUGGGUUCCACAGUGAUUUGAUGUGA